GACGAACGCUGGCGGCGUGCUUAACACAUGCAAGUCGAACGAAGAGCGAUGGAAGCUUGCUUCUAUCAAUCUUAGUGGCGAACGGGUGAGUAACGCGUAAUCAACCUGCCCUUCAGAGGGGGACAACAGUUGGAAACGACUGCUAAUACCGCAUACGAUCUAAUCUCGGCAUCGAGGAUAGAUGAAAGGUGGCCUCUACAUGUAAGCUAUCACUGAAGGAGGGGAUUGCGUCUGAUUAGCUAGUUGGAGGGGUAACGGCCAACCAAGGCGAUGAUCAGUAGCCGGUCUGAGAGGAUGAACGGCCACAUUGGGACUGAGACACGGCCCAGACUCCUACGGGAGGCAGCAGUGGGGAAUCUUCCGCAAUGGACGAAAGUCUGACGGAGCAACGCCGCGUGAGUGAUGACGGCCUUCGGGUUGUAAAGCUCUGUUAAUCGGGACGAAAGGCCUUCUUGCGAAUAGUGAGAAGGAUUGACGGUACCGGAAUAGAAAGCCACGGCUAACUACGUG
rnacentral:rRNA from 1 species